rnacentral:rRNA from 1 species
GAUGAACGCUGACAGAAUGCUUAACACAUGCAAGUCGAUGGGGAAGUGGUGCUUGCACCAUGGCAACCAUGGCGGACGGGUGAGUAACGCGUAAGGGACUUACCUGCAGGACUGGGAUAACAGGGGGAAACUCCUGACAAGACCGGAUAAUGUCAUGGAGCUGCAUGGCUUUAUGAUGAAAGGAGACGCCUGCGGAGAGCCUUGCGUCCUAUUAGCUAGUUGGGGAGGUAAUGGCUCACCAAGGCGAAGAUAGGAAGCCGGCCGGGGGGGGUGGACGGCCACGAGGGGACGGAAAGACGGCCCUUACUCCGACGGGAGGCAGCAGGGGGGAAUAUUGGACAGGGGGGGCAACGCUGAAGCAGCAAUUCUGUGUGCACGAAGAAGGUUUUCGGAGUGUAAAGUGCUUGCAGGAGGGAAGAAGUAAGUGACGGUACCUGCAGAAGAAGCGACGGCUAAAUACGUG